rnacentral:lncRNA from 1 species
CAGGACCCAGGGGGUGCUCAGACACCUCCCAGAGACCGUAACCCACUAACGGUGCCAGUGCCCAUUUCACUUUUCUAUUUCUGUCCUUCCAGGAUUCUUGACAAGUGACAUCUAACCUAUUCACAGACAAUUUUUAAAGCAAAAUAAUAGUGAAAUCAAUGACUCCUACUGUGUGCAACAUGAAAUCAACUGAAAAGUCUUCAGAAGGCAGAUAUUCAAAGAAACUUGCUACAGAGCACAGAAGUUGUAUAAUAGUGAUCCGAUUGAAGCAGAAUGUUGUGUAUAAGGAGUUGAAAGAACACUAAAAUUGGUGGCAACCUUGCCACUUGCAAGCUUCGUGAUUUAAGUCCUCAGGGCAACUCUGUGAGAUGGAAACUGAGUGAAGCUGAAGGAGGUGGAAAUUUGCUCCAGGGAAACAGCUCUCACGCGACAAAGGCGGAAGGCAAACCUAGGUCUCGCUGACUCCAAGUCUGUGUUCUUUCCAUCACUAGGGAAGAAGAGGCACAUGAAUGACUGAAACUAAAAACAAACGUUAAAACGCUAUCAAUUUUGCACAUAAUAGAAGGGAGAAAUUAUGAUCACUACAAUGCUGGGAAUGUACAUCUUAACAUAUUGCUCCUAAUUUCUUAUCAGCAGAUUUUAAAAAUGCAUCUAUCUAGGUUUGCUUUAAAAAUAGAUCAGUUAGAAGGCAAAAUUGUACGAGUGGAUAUUAUUAAUGAUACUGAAUUUCCAUGUAUGUGAACUAGCAUUGAGUGGCACUUUGAUAACACUCAUCUAAUCCUAUUUAGUGCCCUUUCUCUCUUUUGCUGUCAAAGCCUAGGUACGGGUUCGUGCUUUGUCUCAUAACCUCUUGGUUAAAAUGUAACA